CAGCGAUUAUAUUAUCAAGUCUUAAUUAUAGGCUAGAAAUUGUCAUCUGACUUUUGCUAGAAUUAACAUUUACGUGUAUUGCAAAAUGUAUCUGCGCUUUUAACCUGAUACAGCAUCGUACCCAUGUUAAGUGAAGCGCUCAAGUCAAAAUCCCAAGAGCCUGAUCACUCUGUGCAGGAAACAGAAUGAACCAAAAAGGUUGUCAAAUACCAUGAAAGCUUGCUAGACGGCUACGCCACAAUCCAUUAGGCCACAUCUUCACUCAUGAUUUCC
rnacentral:misc_RNA from 1 species